GGAUCAUUAUCGAAAGAAUAAAUCAAAGCAGAAGGGGGGAGAGAGGAAAGAUUGUCGCUGGCUUCUUCUUGAGCAUUCGUGCACGUCAUCUUCUCUCAUUCGUCUGCUUGUGGUUUUUCCUUUUUCACCACACCUGUGCACUCAUUGUAGGGGUUAGCCUCUCAAAAUACAGAGAGAGAGAUCCCUAUGUACUAUUCUCAUCAUUCGCUCUCGCGUUCUAGUAUGUCACGAAUGAAAAACAUAUAUUUAUACAACUUUCAGCAAUGGAUCUCUUGGCUCUCGCAUCGAUGAAGAACGCAGCGAACUGCGAUAAGUAAUGUGAAUUGCAGAUUUUCAGUGAAUCAUCGAAUCUUUGAACGCACCUUGCGCUCCUUGGUAUUCCGAGGAGCAUGCCUGUUUGAGUGUCAUCGAAUUCUCAACCAUGCCUUCGAUUGACUUCGAGGUGCAUCGGCUUGGAGUUUGGGAGUUGCUGGUCUUUUCUUUAGCCCCUCAGGGGUGUGUGGGAUGGGUCAGCUCUCCUGAAAUAUAUUAGCGGAUCGCAAGUGCGAGACCACACGUGUCUUCGAGGUGCACGGCCUUUCUGACGUGAUAAAUCUUUCAUCGUCGUGGGCUGGAGCUUCGAAUCUCGCGUGCGCGUGUGCGCGUUCGCUUCCAAUUCGUGUUUCAUGACGAAACCGGGUCGCUCGAGAGAGUGGUCUGUCUUCCUCAUGUUUCCUUGAACGCUCGACCUCAAAUCAGGUAGGACUACCCGCUGAACUUAAGCAUAUCAAUAAGCGGAGGAAAAGAAACUAACAAGGAUUCCCCUAGUAACUGCGAGUGAAGCGGGAAGAGCUCAAAUUUUGAAUCUGGCGGUCUCGGCCGUCCGAGUUGUAAUCUAGAGAAGCGUUUUCCAGCACCGCGCCGUGUACAAGUCUCCUGGAAGGGAGCAUCAUAGAGGGUGAGAAUCCCGUCUUUGACACGGAAACUUGCGGCGCGCUGUGAUGUGCUCUCGACGAGUCGAGUUGUUUGGGAAUGCAGCUCAAAAUGGGUGGUAAAUUCCAUCUAAAGCUAAAUACGGGCGAGAGACCGAUAGCGAACAAGUACCGUGAGGGAAAGAUGAAAAGAACUUUGAAAAGAGAGUUAAACAGUACGUGAAAUUGCUGAAAGGGAAACGCUCGAUGUCAGUCGCGUCGGUCAGGGAUCAACCUUGCUUUUUUUUCGCUGGGCGUAUUUCCUGGUCGACGGGUCAGCAUCAGUUUCGGUUCGCCGUACAAAGGCGAGAGUGAAUGUGCCACGCCUCGGCGUGCGUUAUAGCCUCUCGUCGGAUGCGGCGGUCGGGACUGAGGAACUCGGUGGCGCAUCCGCGUGGUGCAUCGCU
rnacentral:rRNA from 1 species